rnacentral:rRNA from 1 species
AGAGUUUGAUCAUGGCUCAGAACGAACGCUGGCGGUGUGCUUCACACAUGCAAGUCGAACGAGGUAGCAAUACCUAGUGGCGGACGGGUGAGUAACGCGUGGGAAUCUGCCUUUAGAUGGGGGAUAACGGGUCGAAAGACUCGCUAAUACCGCAUAUGACGAAAGUUGAAAGGAGUAAUCCGUCUAAAGAUGAGCCCGCGUCCGAUUAGCUAGUUGGUAGAGUAAAAGCCUACCAAGGCGACGAUCGGUAGCUGGUCUGAGAGGAUGAUCAGCCACAAUGGGACUGAGACACGGCCCAUACUCCUACGGGAGGCAGCAGUGGGAAUUUUACGCAAUGGGCGAAAGCCUGACGUAGCGACACCGCGUGAGCGAAGAAGCCCCUUGGGGUGUAAAGCUCUGUCAGCUGGAACGAAAAAAUGACGGUACCAGCAGAGGAAGCAUCGGCUAACUACGUG